CACGUCAGCGCGACCUGCUGAUGUGGAAGGAAACCGCUCCCUCAAGGACGCGAUUUCCUUCCACGUCAGCAGGUCGCGCUGACGUGG
rfam:Gossypium hirsutum cultivar TM-1 chromosome 9, whole genome shotgun sequence